AUACGGAGGAUGCGAGCGUUAUCCUGAUUUAUUGGGUUUAAAGGGUGCGUAGGCUGUGCGUUAAGUCAGGGGUGAAAUGCCGUCGCUCAACGACGGAGCUGCCCUUGAUACUGGCGUGCUGGAGUACGGAUGCCGUUGGAGGAAUGAGUGGUGUAGCGGUGAAAUGCUUAGAUAUCACUCAGAACACCGAUUGCGAAGGCAUCUGACGAAUCCGUCACUGACGCUGAGGCACGAAAGCGUGGGGAUAGAACAGGAUUAGAUACCCUGGUAUUCCACGCCGUAAACGAUGAUGACUAACCGUCGGCGAUAGACAGCCGGUGGCCAAGCGAAAGCGAUAAGUCAUCCACCUGGGGAGUACGUCGGCAACGAUGAAACUUAAAGGAAUUGACGGGG
rnacentral:rRNA from 1 species